ACCCUGCUGGCUUAGUUGGUAAAGCGUGUGACUCUUAAUCACAGGGUCUUGAGUUCAAGUCCCACAUUGGGUG
rnacentral:tRNA from 1 species